UGCGGAGGAUCAUUACCGAGUGAGGGCCCUCUGGGUCCAACCUCCCACCCGUGUUUAUUUUACCUUGUUGCUUCGGCGGGCCCGCCUUAACUGGCCGCCGGGGGGCUUACGCCCCCGGGCCCGCGCCCGCCGAAGACACCCUCGAACUCUGUCUGAAGAUUGUAGUCUGAGUGAAAAUAUAAAUUAUUUAAAACUUUCAACAACGGAUCUCUUGGUUCCGGCAUCGAUGAAGAACGCAGCGAAAUGCGAUACGUAAUGUGAAUUGCAAAUUCAGUGAAUCAUCGAGUCUUUGAACGCACAUUGCGCCCCCUGGUAUUCCGGGGGGCAUGCCUGUCCGAGCGUCAUUUCUGCCCUCAAGCACGGCUUGUGUGUUGGGCCCCGUCCUCCGAUCCCGGGGGACGGGCCCGAAAGGCAGCGGCGGCACCGCGUCCGGUCCUCGAGCGUAUGGGGCUUUGUCACCCGCUCUGUAGGCCCGGCCGGCGCUUGCCGAUCAACCCAAAUUUUUAUCCAGGUUGACCUCGGAUCAGGUAGGGAUACCCGCUGAACUUAAGCAUAUCAAU
rnacentral:rRNA from 1 species